GAUGAACGCUGGCGGCGUGCUUAACACAUGCAAGUCGAACGAUGAAGCCCAGCUUGCUGGGUGGAUUAGUGGCGAACGGGUGAGUAACACGUGAGUAACCUGCCCUUAACUCUGGGAUAAGCCUGGGAAACUGGGUCUAAUACCGGAUAGGAGCGUCCACCGCAUGGUGGGUGUUGGAAAGAUUUAUCGGUUUUGGAUGGACUCGCGGCCUAUCAGCUUGUUGGUGAGGUAAUGGCUCACCAAGGCGACGACGGGUAGCCGGCCUGAGAGGGUGACCGGCCACACUGGGGAUGGGGCACGGCCCAGAAUCCUUCGGGAGGCAGGAGUGGGGAAAAUUGCACAAAGGGCGCAAGGCCGAUUCCGGGACGCCGGGGGAGGGAAUACGGCCUUCGGGGUGGAAACCCCUUUCCGGAGGGAAGAAGCGGAAGUGACGGGACCUGGCGGAGAAGCACCGGCUAACUACGUG
rnacentral:rRNA from 1 species